AGGUGGGGGCGGGGCUUGCUGCUGGGCGGGGCCUGCUGCAGCCCCCAGCCAGGAUUCGGGUUCCCGGCCCAGGGUGCCUGCGUCCCCCAUGGGGCUGUGCUUCCCGUGUCCCGCGGAGUCCGCACCGCCAUCCCCGAGCCCGGAAGAGAAAAGAGCAAAGCUGGCAGAGGCAGCAGAAAGAAGGCAAAAGGAGGUGAGAGUACAGUAAUUGGCCUGCGAUAAAGAGUUCAGUUUACUUUCUGCAGGUGUCUGUCCUAUUCCCAGGCUCUAAAGGCAGAGUGCCUGAUGGCACACACAGUUCCAUAUGCAAAGAUAACCACUCGGGGAAAUGAUGUCCGAGUACCGGUGAACUGCACGCAUUUGCAUCAUUUUCUGGGGAAAACAUCCCCAGAUGGACCUUGCAUUUAAGCCUGUCUUGCAAUGGCAUUCUUCCUCGGGAUAACCCUGCUAUGCUAUGAGGAAUGAAGGAAUGGCUGUGCUUUCUGUAAGGUUGCCAUAGCAAACAACUCCCGCUCUUCAAGGAAAAGCGAAAAGUAGAGCAGAUACUUCUGUUUCUCCCUGUAAUCACCCCUUGUUGAAUCUUUUGAAGGCGGCAUCUCGGGGAAUUUUG
rnacentral:lncRNA from 1 species